rnacentral:rRNA from 1 species
UAAUGCCUGGGGAUCUGCCCGAUAGAGGGGGAUAACUACGGGAAACUGUAGCUAAUACCGCAUAAUGUCUACGGACCAAAGUGGGGGCUCUUCGGACCUCAUGCUAUCGGAUGAACCCAGGUGGGAUUAGCUAGUUGGUGAGGUAAUGGCUCACCAAGGCGACGAUCUCUAACUGGUUUGAGAGAAUGACCAGUCACACUGGAACUGAGACACGGUCCAGACUCCUACGGGAGGCAGCAGUGGGGAAUAUUGCACAAUGGGCGCAAGCCUGAUGCAGCCAUGCCGCGUGUGUGAAGAAGGCCUUCGGGUUGUAAAGCACUUUCAGCGGGGAGGAAGGGCCACUAGUUAAUACCUAGUGGCAUUGACGUUACUCGCAGAAGAAGCACCGGCUAACUCCGUGCCAGCAGCCGCGGUAAUACGGAGGGUGCAAGCGUUAAUCGGAAUUACUGGGCGUAAAGCGCACGCAGGCGGUUUGUUAAGUCAGAUGUGAAAUCCCCGAGCUCAACUUGGGAACUGCAUUUGAAACUGGCAAGCUAGAGUCUUGUA